AACGAACACUGGCGGCGUGCCUUAAGCAUGCAAGUCGAGCGGUGCCAGACAUUAUCUGGUAUAGCGGCGCACGGGUGAGUAAUGCGUGGUGAACUGUCCUAAAGUUAGGGAUAGCCUGAAGAAAUUGGGGGUAAUACCUAAUGUGCCCUACGGGGUAAAGCUUAAUGCGUUUUAGGGGGUAACUGCGUCCCAUCAGGUAGUUGGGGGGGUAAUGGCCCACCAAGCCAAUGACGGGUAGCCGGCCUGAGAGGGUGAUCGGCCACACUGGAACUGAGACACGGUCCAGACUCCUACGGGAGGCAGCAGCUAGGAAUUUUCCGCAAUGGGGGGAACCCUGACGGAGCGACGCCGCGUAAGGGAAGAAGGCUUCACGGAGUUGUAAACCUUUUUUAACAGGGACGAGUAAGGACGGUACCUGUGGAAUAAGCCCCGGCAAACUACGUG
rnacentral:rRNA from 1 species